AAAUACAAAAAAUAACAUAAUACCAUUAUCAUACCUACAAAAUUAACAGUAAUUUUUAAUAUCAUUAAAUACUCAAUAGGUGUUAAAUUUUCAAUUAUCUUGAAGAUGUCAUAUUACUUUAAAGUCAUUUUUAUUGAAGUGCAUUUUUCAUGUAAUAAAAUGUACCUAUAUUAAGGGUGCAGUUAAAUGAGUCUUGACAAAUGUACACACUCCUGUAACCACCAUCAUAGUCAAGUUAGAGAACAUUUUCACCACCACAGGAAGUUCUUUCAUGCCCCCUGCAUGCAAUUUCACCUCCUCUUCCCAAUCUCAGCCCCAGGCAACAGCUCAUCUGCUUUCUUUCACAUUUAUAUGGGCAUAGAAAUAGAGGAAUAUAGAUAUCUAUCUAUCUUCUUCUGGCCACUUAAAACAUUUACUGCUAACAAUUGGUUCUCAGCAAUUUGAUUGUGAUGUUCCCCUCAAUGGUUGGUGUUUAUCCAUCGUGUGUAUCCCUGAGCUUCUUAGACCUAUGGAUUUGUUAUUUGCAUCAGAGAUGGAAAAUUUCCAGUCAUUAUUCUGCAAAUAAUUUGUCUUUGCCACCGGCUCUCUGUCUUCUUCUUCCUGGACUCCAGUUACAUGUGUAUUUGACUACUUGAUAUUGUCCCACAGGUUGCUGAGUUUGUGUGUGUGUGUUUUGUCUUUUUUCCUUUCUACGUAUUAUUUGAAUAUUUUCCAUUUCAACGUCUUCCUGUUCACUGACCUUUCUUUUGUAGCAUCUGAUCUGAUGUUACAAUUGUCCAAUUAAAUUUUCCCAACAAAUAGUGUAUUUUUCUUCUCUAAAAGUUCCAUUUGAUGCUUUUUAAAAACACUUUUCUUAUGUCUCUUCAUCAUGUGCAUGUUUUCCUUUGAGAUUUAAGUAUACGUAUAAGAGCGCUUUAGAAGUCCUUGUCUGCUGUUUCUAACAUCUCUGUCAUUUAUGGGUCUGUUUCUUCUGACUGAUUUUCCUUCUUGUUAUGGGUCAUAAUUAGCUGUUUUUUGCAUGUCUAGUAAUUUUUGAUUGGAUGUGGGACGUUAUGAGGUUUAGGUCGUUGAGUGUUUGGGUUUUGUUUUCUUAAAGUGUUUUGGAUUUUGUUUUGCUAGAAAAUUAAGUUACGUAUUUCUGAUGAAUCCUUACCAGGUUUGUAUUUAAGCCCUUUUUAGGGCAGUUCUGGACUAGUCUGUACUUUUGGGCUAAGUCAACCCUAUUACUAAGGUGUGCCCCUCUGGCAUCUCUACAUAUUGCUCUGGGCGCUCAAGCAGGAGUGUCCACAUGGCUGGUUAGAAUGUGCAUCCCUCCCAGCCCUGUGAAAGCUCUGGGAACUGUUCUUUGUCCAGCCUUGUAGAAAUAUCCCCUAUGAAUGCACAGAUUUGGAUUCAGCCAGAGGCUCAAGGGGCCCCCAUGCAGCUUUCUGGAACCCUUCUUUGCACAGUUCAGUUCUCUCUGGUACGGCCUCCCUGAACUCUGAUCUGUUUCCCUCAACUCAGAUGUGGAGCUCCUCUUAGAUGCUCCUGUCCCUUUGCUGUUGUUUUAAAUUUGCUUUCAGGCAGAAAUCCAGGAGAUUGUAAAGCUCAGCUUCUUUGUUUCUUUUUCUCCAGGGUCAGAGUCAUAUUGUUUGAUAUCUUAUGUCUAAAAACGUUUUCAUUUAUGUUUUGCACAAUUUUCUGUUUGUUUGGGGGAGGAAAAUAAUCUGUACUGGUUUCUCCUUCAUGGCCAGUAAUUUAAGUUGUAAUUUUAAAAAGCAGUUUGUAUACUUGAAUUGGGAUUCAAGUAAAAUUCACACAAUGUGAUGGGCUGGUGUCUUUUUACCUUUUUAAAUAAUUAAGUCCAUCCUUCACCUUCCUCGCUCUCUCUUUUUUCUUCCUUUUCUUUUGUUGAAAACUGGGAAAGUUUGUAUGUUGAGUUUCACACGUCAUUCUGGAUUUCACUGACUGUUCCCAUGUGUCGUUUAACUUAUUCCUCCAUACACAUUCCCUGGUAACUGGUGAUUGAACUGAGAGACUCGAUCAGAUUCAGAUUAGUUUUUUUUUCAAGAUGACUUUAAAGGUGUCGGUUGCUUUUCCAUCAAGCGACACAUGCCUUUCUGUUGUGUUAGCAGCCACUGAUGCUCAGUAACUAGACUAGAACAUUUCAUUUAAUUUGCUGAUUUAUCAUAGAGACUGGGCCUCAGCAAGGAUGAAUUUCUAGACUGGGCAAAUGGGACUAUUAUUUCUAGCCGUGUACUUCAAAAUAUGAAUUACAGUGACAAAUUGGAGCUCCAAUAAAAAGUGGAAUGUUUUUAAACUUGCUCAAAGAAAAGUUGACCCAUUUUUACAAAGUGGAAGGAGGCCAGCCUGAAUUAUAUCAGUCUAUACAUGUGACUUUCAAAGUUGUUCUCUAAUUAAAGCUGGGCUCAAGCAGUGCUGCCGGGGGGGAAGACACCCUUUCUCUGCAAUGAGAGGCGAGAAUGACUUUUCGGAUCAGUCAUAAGACAAGGAUGCUUCUUCGGUGCUUAAGGCACGUUAAAGCUUUUUCAAGUGUAAAUUUGUUUAAAUACGUCCUUUCCUGGUAGUUUGUGGGGAUGACAUGUUAGCUUUGAACAUAGGACUUUCUAGGUGAAGUUGAAUAUCUGUCCUAGCUCUAAUACUAGUUGACAUGAUACUGUUUAUUUUUACAAAGCACUUUCACUAUGUUCUUUCAUUUCUUCUUCCUCAAGAUUUUUCUCGAUAUUAGCAACCUAAUUUUGUAAGACAUGGAAACUGGAGCACAGAAGACCCGGGACUGGGAGAAGCUCGUUCAGCUCCUGGCCUCCGCUGUGGUUGACACCCUCCCCCCUGCCCCACCCCAUGCCCUGGAACACAGCCGGAAGGUCCUCCAGUCUCCCCACUCGGCACUCCUGUGCAGAGGAACCAAGGCCGGCAUUUCCUCGUAGCUUUUGGGACAGUGAUCGCAGGUCAGGUGUGCGUGCGGUGUCUUGCUUUGAGCUUCCUUCCUCCGUGGUGUCUCGGACUCUCCGGAGCAUCUUUUCAGGUGUUGGUUGAUCGUCAUUGGUAAGGUCGACGAGCAGAGCGUGUAGCUGUGCUCCCAGAGUGGUCCACGCCACACAGGCGGUCCGUCUGCAGCCGCCCCUGCCCUUCUGGAGCGCUCCCGGGAUGACCUGUAUCCUUGGUGAAGCGCGAUAUUGGUUUCCCAGGCUCCAUGUGCUUAUUUGGGGAGCAUUGCCGUGUUAGUGACCUUCACCCAUCACACUCCAGAUACCCCUUAGAGGGUAACCUCCUCCUCUCUAAAAUAUUUGUUUAGUGUGGGAUGUUUGGUUUCGACUUUCUGGGAAGUCCGUUUUAAAGGAUGCUUCAGCUGUGUCAGCUCAGGUGUGGUGACAGCCGCUUAGCGUUGAUGUGACCGACAUUUUCUUCCUGCCACACUGGACCUCAUAUUCUCGGCCUCUUUGUCUCCUGCUCCUCAGGGACGUAAAGUUAAACUUUAUCUUCACUGUUCUUGUAGAGCUGCAGCCACCAGACAUCCCAGAUUUGGGCAAAAGCCCUAUUUCGACUCUUCUGACUAAUGGUCCACACAAAUUGUUGAGAUGCUGUCCGGAAUUCUGUAUAUUUCAAUGUUGAAUCUGUCUCCCGGGCUGCCUCCUUGAAAGCAGAGAUGGACAGAAACAUCUUUUGUAAGGUCUCACCUCCUGUUGAUUUGAAAACUAUUGUCAUUGGAUCUUACCGCAGGAAAUUAGUUUCCUAGUCUGGGUUACCCUGAGAGAGGCUGGCAGAGAGGCCUGUAGGCAGGCGGUUGGUUUGGGAAAUGAUGCUGGCGAGCAGGGAAAGGGGGGAAAGAAAGGGGGGACCCUACAAGCUGCCUUACGGUGGGGGACUGGCCCCCAGAGGCCUGCCCGGGUGCCUGGAGAAACGCGUCUUGGAAAUGUCUGCUUUACCCACGAAGGGUGGAGCCUCUCUCCGUGGCCCUGUCUCCCGCUGGUCGGCGGUGGCCCAGUGGGGUCACUUCCUGUGUCGGUGCCCAUACGUCCCAGCAGGCACCCGAGAGACCUGGCCAAGCUGCCUGCUCAGAGCUGGUGGCAACAGUGGCUGGAAGGGGAGGUGGGCCGGGGGGCUCCAGCGGUGCCCGCCAGUGGGGUUGGAUGUUUUACUGGGGCAGAGGGAAACAGACGCCCCAUAGGUACCUUUACAUGAAAGUACUUCUUCAUUUUUUACCAGAUCUCCAUUCCUGUUGAGACGUGAGUCACAGUGAGAGAGAGCGCCUGCCCUUACGCAGCUGCCCACGGCCCCUCCCGAGGAGUCGGUCUGCGUCCCGUUUCCAGUGUCCCCCUGCCCUGGAGGGGGCAUGGUGGCUCACUGUGAAGAAGGGCAUUGAAGGAUUGGUCACCAGAAUUGUGCGGAGGGACUCCUGUGAAUGGGAAUGUAUUCAGCUGGUCGUACUCAUGAGCUUGUAGCAGUGAGGCCUCAGGGCAUCCUGACUCACAGAGAAGGACAAUUUCACUUUGCCACGGAGACCGGCCGGUUGUCAUGCAGACAGGAGCGGGCGCGGGCGCGGGGCUGGGUCAGGGGAGGCUGCCCUGUCUGCUUGGAGUCCCGUGCGGGGCUGGAGGCCGGGGCCGCGCCUUCCUCUCUCUGCUUGGACGCUGUCUGUCCACUUGAAUACAGUGGAUGCUUCACAGUCUGUGAGGACGGGGCAGGCGGGGACCCUGGGGUGUGGUCUGGCCGAGGCCCCGCCCUUUCUGGCCCCGUAAUCCUGUCCGGUUGCCUCCCGUCUCCGCAGCUCUUCCCUCACUGGGGGAGUGAGCGUCACGGGGAGGAUUAAACACGAGCCUGCUUGGAGGCAGUCAGCUUAGCACGAUUGCCUGGUGAGAGACGAGAGUGCAGAGGGUCAGCAGGCAGUGCCGCCCAGGCCCUGGCCGGUUCCUGUAUUUUUCCCUGAGGAGGUUGACCUGCGCACCCCCGAAGCCUUGAGCAAGUUUAGGCCGCUGCCAGGACGGUUACGGGAGCUUGGAGACGCUUUCUGGGCCAAGGGGCUGCCCAGACUGCCUGUGUGUGAGCCGAGGGGCCUUGGGAUGCUAACGCUGGCCGGCGCGUGGUGGCCCCCCUCCUGGCCCCAGAGUGUCCGAGCGGGUCGAGACCAGGCCGCCAGGGACGUGUCCGCCUCUCUGCUCCGGUGCACUGUGGUCCUGCGUGCACGAGGCCCCCGCGAGGCUGGGGGCCAGAGGCGUGAAGAGGGGCAGGCUUCUGACCUUUCCCCACCGGCUGGACCGAGUCCUUGGGAACAGCGACUUCACAGACUCUCUCACGAGCUCACCACACGCUUAGCCAGGGUGGAAGGAAGGCUCUCCUGCUCCAGGUCUGGGCGCCUCCUGGGUCAAGUUCUCAGCUGACGUGGGGUCACCGUUGCCCUCUGGGCGCUGUGAUCUUGUGGGUCCGUGCAGACCCAGAGGGCGUGGCUUGAGGAUGCUCGGAUGGCAGCACGUGGAGGACAGGAUCAUAGAGGCCGGGUGCCCGGUAUCCACCGGGAAAGGACCUCUCGAUCGGGUGAGUUUUGAGAGGGUUUUGGGAAACUUUGCUACCGCCCUCACCCACGGGGGCAACUGCAGACCUGGAGUUUGGGAAAAGAACAGGCAGGACGGCGCUUUUCUCCACCGCGGGCGGAGACCAACCCGGUGCCUUUCUGUCUGUUUGGCUGUUUGGGGCCGGGAGGCGGCAGCCAACGUGCAGCAUCUCGUUCACUCUGGAGACACCCCCUGUGGGCCUGGACUCAGUGCGUGAGGAUGGCCAGCUGCCCAAAGUCAAGGGGGUGGGGGGGGUCUUGGCCCCGGGCUGACCACAGAGCCCCCGAGCUUUACACCGACGUCUCCUGCCCGACACCCACCGGGACGCGGCCGGGUCUGUGCACCAGGCGCCAGCAUGGGCCCCUCCUGAGCACUUUUACCCAUGGUCAUUUCACAGCUCCGUGCUGCUGCUGGCCUGCGUGUCGGCCGAUCGUCAGGUGCAAACGCAAAGCUGAAAGUAAAUCAGGCCCCCCCCAGCACACAGGGUCCCCUCGGAGAGCUUCCUGGUCAGCGUGUCACCGGGGCGAUGUUCCUGCCUGAGGAGGAGAGGCACGGAUGUGUGUGUGCACGUGUGCACGUGUGUGUGCAAGCACACGUGUGCGUACAAGUGCAUGUAUAUGAGCACAUGUGCCUUAGAUGUGUGUGUACAUGAAUGUAUGCAUGUGUGUACACGUGUGUAUGCACGUAGGUGUGUGAGUGUGUGCAUGUAUGCAUGUGUGCCCAUGUGUGUGCAUGUGUGUAGGCGUGCAUGCGGGUGAGUGUAUGUACGUGAAGGAGGACCGGAGGGAAGUCCAAGCGCUUGGAAGCACACGUGAGGCGUUGCUGGAGCCGCCUGGCUUCUGGCCACUUUCCUGCCAUUGACCAGCUGAUCCAGUCCCUUAACUAACCUAUUGGGAGGUUAGUUCCGUCAACGGUUAGACACAGGGAUUGGACUGGAGUAUCCCAAAGAAGCCUUGGCGACUCCCGGUCGAGAGCCGCUCAGAGCAGCCUCCAGCCGGCCUUGCCUGUGGCUCCUCUCGGGGACGAGCCUUCCUUGGCGUCUGUGCCCUUGAACUUGGGGGGGGGUGUGGUCCGCGUGCCGGCCCUUCUUGUAGGUUUGUUCUAAUCCUCCAUCUGGGCAAUGCUGGUUUUGGCUGCAUUUCCCAGCUUCCUCCUAAGAGCUGUGAUGGGUUUUACCUCCUGUGGUGUGGCCCCGAGGGCUGUGGUACCACCCAGUUCACAGGUGAGCUGAGCGAUGGGACAGCCCAGGGGACAGGCUGGAGGGCAGGGCAGCAGCCGCUUGCUGACGCCAACGUGACCGCCCUGGGGAGGACCGUGGGCACCCAGAGCCUGGGCCUCCAGGCUGCCCAGCGAGCGCUCAACCCUGACUUAGAGCUGCUGAGAUGGGACGCUUGUGUCUUCCUGACCGAGGGCUUCUGGGCGGGGGCGGGGGCGGGAGGCUGCCUGGGGGGUGUGAGCUGAUGCCUGGCUCCCAUCAGAAAACGGGGACCAGGAGCUGUGCUGCUUGGAGGGUUUGGGGGAGACCAAGGACGUGACGAGUGCAGAAGGGCUAGGCAAGUGCGCGGCCAAGGGCACGGUGGCCAGGCUCUGGCCGGACGCACUUCGGUCAGCUGCGCGUUUCCUCCUUUGCGAGGAGUCGGGCUCCAGGCAUGGUGGGAACAGCCCUUCCAGUCUGCAGAGCUUUGGGAGCAAGGGCAGGACUAGGGUCAGCCGAGCCGGGGCCAGAGGCGGGCUGAGGGCGAGCUGGGAGGGGCGGCUGCGAAUUGCGCAGCACUGACGGACCAGGUAGCUGGCGAGGGCGUUGUUUUGGUCGCGACAGUGCAUUCAGCGGAUCACUUUCUCCUCUGGCUUCCAGGGAGUCCUGACGUAUUUGGGAUCUCUGUAGAUUUUGACUCUGCCACCCUGAAUAAUAAAAGGCAAAGGCAGAGGCUUCUGUGCCGCGGGAAGGCUCUGGGCCCGCCCCUGGGGCUGCAGCUGUGCGCGGCAGACAGAGGCAGCCUGCAGCCCCCGCUGGGUCGCUGAGCUCGGGCGCCGCCCUGCGGGGCGGUUUUGGAGACACACAGCUGAAGUGCUAGGUUCCUAGCAGGGCAGCCAGGUCGCAGCAGCUUCACCCUCCUCCGGGUGCCCACGAGGCCUCCUCUCUGCUCCACGAGCUCCGUCUCUAAGGGCCCCGGGGGGUGGUGGUGGGCAGCGGGCCAUCUGCUGAGACUCGGGUCCCAUGAGGCACAACGCUCGACGAGCGUUUCCAGGCCGCCGUGUGACGUCGUCGUCAUUUCCCCAUCUUGCUGGCGAGGACCCUGGGGCCAAGAGCCUGGAGCGACUUGCCACGCGGCCAGACGCCCGGGUGGCGCCCCGAGGCCUGGCCUCUGACCGCCCCCCACCCCCCUUGGCGUGCGCCCCGCUUUCUGGAGGAUGGUCUGUCAACAGAGCCUAGUCUCUGCUUCAAUAAAGGGAGGUUUAAGUUUGGGAAUGAGAAGAAGAGGGUCGGCUCCGUUGGAACCAUCCCAAGUGACAAAGGCCACUUCUUCCGGGGGUGGGAUGGGGAGUGGCAGAAGGGACAGAAAAAGUCCUGGAGGGGCAGCUCAGCAAGAGACCCAACAGAGCAGGAACCGCUGCUUCGGCUGACUCAGUCCGUCUCUUCCUUCCUCCCUCCCCCUCCUCACUGCCAAGCCCCUGGCUCGGUGACUGAGUCACCAGUGAGAUGUAACAUCAGCUCAGCCCGCCUGCCUGUGACUCUCUGUGCAUCAGGGGUCCUACAUCAGGCUCUUUCCAGCCCUCACUCAAACCCCUACACUGAGUAUAAACAGAAGUGAAAGUUGUAAAUUGGGUGUAAAUACAUUCCACAGAGAAAAAGUCAGUAGCCAAAAAUGACAAAGUUUAUUAUUCUUAAUAUACAAAGAGUUAUUGCUAAUUAAUAAGAAAAAGAUGAACACUCCGACUGUAAAAUGGGCAAAGGGCAUAAACACAUAACACCCCCAGCUAGAAACAUCCCUAGAAGAAACACAGAGUCAGCCCACUGGCAUCUGGAGGUAAGUGGAAGCACAGCCCCGCUCGAGGACACGGCUGUAGAGGCAGGUCUACCUGGACUGAGUUCGGGGGUCACUAUUUAUCGGCUCCUUGACCUUCGGCAAGUGAAGCUCGCUAAGCCUUUGUUCUCUGUGAAACAGGGGCAGCGGUACCUGCCUGCAGGGUUAUCGUGAGGGUGAAAGAGCGAAUUCCGUGAGGAGCUUAGCCCAGUGCUAAGCACGCUUUCGUCAUCACUGCUAGCAGUACGGGUGCACUGAUAACGAGCCAUGUUCGUAAGUUCACACCUCACUGAAAUCAGAGACAGGCGAUGAAAACAGCAGUGGAAUAUUAUUUGUUACCUAUCAGGUUGGGAACAAGGUGGAAGGAUUGGUAACAGCCCCUGUUGGUGAGGUGCUGAGACAGUGGGACCCGGCACCCACCCUCCAUGGAGCGGUUUGGUGGUUUGCACUGACGCUGGAACUGCAGACGGGUUUUGGCUCUUCUGCUAGAAAUGAACCCCACGGAGGUAAUGGGACCAGUGCACAGUGACGAAUGUGUAAGCAUAUCUAUCCUGCCGUCGUUUGUAUGAGCAACAAUUCAGAAGCAACUAUAAAUGGGUCAGGUUAACACGUUUUACACCUUAGAUUUACACAAUGUUAUGUGUCAACCCUACCUCAAAAAAAAAAAAAUUCAGAAGCAACUUAAACGUCCCUUAGUGAGGUUGAUUAAUAAAUUGCACUUCCUCCGUACGAGGGAAUCCUACACGACCUCUAACAGCAUGAUGAAGUGUCCUAGCCCUCCACUGGCCAUCAUGGGUGAAGCUCUCUGACACUGAUGGAUAAACAAAGUGGGUUAUAAAGUAACAUCUUCCUGUGUCUCCAUUUGUGUCCAUCCACCUGUUAGUUCAGAAACAAGUUUGGGAGGAUGCACCCACUUUAAGAUGCCGACAUUCCUUUCUUCUUGGGAACUAAUUUUAUGAUUUGAUUUUUGUGUGUCUAUUAUCUUUCAAUUAGAAAAGAAGAAAGGAAUGGAUUUUUUUUUUUUUGUCCUUUAACAGCUUACUCUAUAAACAGAGAUCUGCAUGUUGAUUUUGCUCAUGUAAACUGACUAGGAGUUGUGGUCCGAGAACACGUCAUCCUAGCUUUCUUCCUCUUCUUUUUUCCUUGUUUGUCGUUCAGAAGCGUUUCUUCAUUCUUUAGUCUAUGACUCACGCAGGAAGACAGAGAACCAGUGUUUGGCGAGAUCUUUCCAUGCAAUGGAGAGAACCUCAGCCUUGGCGCCAGUGAAAGGCAGGCACGUGGCCUUGCCUCUCCGCCCUGAGAGUGAUGCGGUUCUGCAGGGGUGGGGUGAGCUGGAAUGAUCCGGCCAGCGUCAGACAGUCAGACAUUCGGCUGCUGUCACACACAAUAGCCCUGGGGCCAACGGUGGUAACAAGACGAACUUAAAACCUCCUUUGCCUGUGCUGCUGAGAAUCACUGCAGCAGAAGGAUCCCUGAGGCGUCCGCUGGACUGUUACCCAGCUGGACACUUAGGGGACUGAAGGGUGCACCACGAUGGCUCCCAAAUCCUCUACCCAUCUCUUCCCCUCCCGGCUUGAACUUCCCACCAUAAGCCGGAUGUUCACGGUGCCCCAGUCAGCCUUGUUCUGUGCCGUGUUCAAUGUUGAGCAACCGUUGCUCCAGCUGAGCUGCCCAGAGCCCUGGGGGCAGGCGGGGCAGGAGUCGCCAUCAUCAUUUUGCAAAUGAGGAAGGAGCUCAAACAGACCUGGGGCUCGUCUGGGGACACGGCAUGGCCAGAACUGACUCUGGGUCCUCGGUCCCCACUGGUUUUGUUUUCUUCCCUGUGACUUCACAGCUCUUCAGAAAGCCAUUGCCAUCAUGCUCUGUGGACCGCCCGAGAUCUGCCCUUCAGUUUCCUGACUGAGACACACAGUUUUAAAGUGUGAUCCUGCACGUGCGUGCGCGCGCGCACACACACACACACACACACACAGAAACCGAAGUUUCAAGAAGCAAAGCUUAACCUUUCUACCCCGUGUACUCCAUGACUCAGCUGUUUUCUAGUCUUUUCAUUCCAUUCCAUCCUAUUCUUUUUCCAAAUAGGAAAAAGACUCAGUAACUUGAUUUCGUGACCCCUGGGGACGGUCCUCUGGCUGCCCAGCGAGGCAGAUUUGGGAUUCCUGUGAGCAACUCCGGAGGGUGGGCUCCCGGGCCGGGGUCGGUGGAGCCAGAGGGGAAGGGCUGAGCUCGCCGUCUCUGCAGGACGGAAAGGGGGGCUGGGCAGGGUGGGUGCAGACGGAGGCGGGCAGGUGUGGACGGUGCACCUCUCGGGCUGAAAGGCCUGCUUCAUUUUCCUGCCCCCUGUCUUUCUUUGCACGAGGAUCUUCCUGGUUGCCUGGAGGCCUCUCGGCCCUGUCUCCUUUCCAGUUUGGGGACGGGCAGCCUCUCUGGGGAGGACUGGGCAGGAAAUGCAGCUUUCCCGCCCCACUGGCUGGUCAGGGCAUCACGGCCACGCCACCAGCUGCUGAGGGCCCUCACUGCGGCUGCGUCCCCGGGUGACUAGACCAGGGUCUCCCUGGAGUCGCCGUGGGCCUUCAGCAGGCUUCGGGCCAGGGUGCCCUUGAGCUGCACCCCGACAGAGACCCCACCCAGCCCGGGACGGGAAGCCUGCAGCCGGGCUCUUCAUCUUUCCUGGUCGGAGAUCGUUCUGAGCUCUGAAGAACCUCACGAACCUUACAAAACACACAAACGCACACGCAUCAGAAAACUGGGGGUAAAAUGUCUCGUGUUUCACGGAUGCAGAAGUCGGUAAAAGCGGGAAAGGGCUGUGGACCCAGAGGACCCUAAAGGCUGAAAUUCAGCGAAGGUGAUGUAGGAAGUGAUUCGCGAGGAAGAUUCUUCCUUGCAGGCUCAGUUUUAUCUGGUGAAUCUCACUGUCUGUUGCUUUGGGCGUCACAGAAUCAGCCCUCUUCUUUUCCACACUCUCCCCUGAAUUUCUAGCAAGUUUUCCUCGUACGUUAGGCUGUGUAUCAUUUAUGCUGACACCCGAUUAUCCCCCAGCCACGCUGCAGGAAGAGCUGCCUCCAGGAAGGCUGCCUGGAGCUGGCCAGGCCCUGUCUUGGUCCAAGGGCUCCAGCUGCUUCUUCCUCUUUUGCUACAUGUCACCCCCACUGGCUCUCGAUCUGGAUCUGUCCAACGGGGCUUCAGUAAAUACUGACGAGUGCUGGCAGGUAAGUUUCCGUGAUGGAAUCUAUCACCUGUUCAGACAUCGCGGGCACACAAUGGACUCGGGCUGGACGUGACACAGAGAGCGACACGGGCACCCGGAGGACACCAGGAGGCAAAGGGACAUGAACUCUGACUCUGCACGUGUCCUCCCGACAGGGGAGCAGAAGGAAGCCCCGUCCGCCACGUAGCAGCCUUGGGAGAACUACUGAAGAGAGACGCUUGGAACAAGCAACGUCCAAGUUCCUCCUCUGCGGGUGCGUCCGGUGUGAGGGGUACAAUCCCUCCGGGCGUGUGCGAACUGCAGACACUGGGCGGGGGUGGGCGUCCUCCGGGACCAGCAGGAAGCCAUCGGGCUCCUCUCCCCUCCCUCCUGCGCCGGCCUGUUCCCUCCCGUCUGACCUGGACGUGCCCACAGUGUCCAUGUUCCUUGCAAACCAGCCUCCUCUGCUUACCUGUCAGUGCGGAGGUUCCCAGAGGCCACCCCUGGAAAAGAGGCUCAUCCCAGCAUCCCCGCAUCUCAGGAAGGCCCUACGGAGUCGCCACUAACCGGCCCCUGGAUGGAGCUACGGUGUCUGUGGCCACACGUCACGUUCGGGGGGGAGAAGGGAAUUGGCCGGUCCUGAGCCGGCAUCCACCACCAUCCAGCUGGUGUGGGAACGGUGGGGACCAUCCUGAGAUCAGUGCGGCCGUUUCCAGAGGAGGUCUGGGCACCCCAAACCGUGCCUCUCCGGAGCAUCCUCUCGCCUAUACACCCGGUUCCUGAAACAACAAGGUAUCCAGGUAACCAGUGACCUCGGUCACGUCAGAGCCCGUACAACGUACUGGGUCCCUGGUUCCGUUCAAGGGGAGGGAUCCUCGGACCCCGUGUGCUGGGUGUUGUCCCAGCAGAGGGUGGGGCGCUCUGGGCCCCUCCAGGUCCAGCUCAACCCAGCGCCCGCGCGCUGUCACUGAGUCACAAAGGUGCAGGGUGGGGCUUUGACUGGCUGAAGAUAACUGGCCUGCUCCUAUCACGUAAGUUUAAACAUUGCCAUAAUCACCUUCUCCACCAGAAAGCUCGGCAGGAAGAAACACUUCAGCCCUCAAGGCUCCACCCUGCCCUGGGUGACCCUCUGUCCUGUGUGCCGGGGACCAUCCCAGUCUUCGCACUAAGAGCCCCACGUCAGCGGCAAGCCGGACGGCUGGUCACCCUGCCUACAUCCAGCCACACACGGUGUAGCUGGGAGUGGCUGUUCCGCUUCUCCUCCAGGUGUGGGAACCAGCGCCAAGUGUGGUCCUGGAAGCAACCUCAGGGCCGCAGGUUCCCGAGGGGGGCUGGCUGUCCCCCUGCCUCUUUCCCCAGCAGGGGCAGCUCCUUCUCUGCUUCCCAGAGGCCGGCCCUGCAAGGACUUAGAUUCUGGGCACCAGGCCUGAGUUCUGCCCCCCUGGCCGGGCACUGGUGCUCGCAGGACCCCCCUCCUGGGGUUAGAGCUGGGGUGCUGCCCCAAACAGCCAGCCGACCCCCAGAGGCGCCUGCGGGUCUGGAGGGGAUGCUGGGGUCACAGCCUCCACCACUGACGUCACCAUAUGGGGGACACCCCGGGACCUGGUUUUAUAAGAAAAUGUACUCACUUCCCCCUCCAGGGAAAGCGUGUAUCCCGAGACACAAGACUUGUCUUUCUUUGAAUAAAUGGGUGUGUUCUCAGGGCCAAGGGCAGUGCGCAGCACUUAGGAGGCUCCUAACGAGUGAGCGCAGAUGGGUCAGAGGGCCCUAGUCCAUCCAGGCCCGUCCCAGCCCCCUGGUGACUGGAGGGCAAGCCCGCGUCUGCAGGGCUCUUGGGGUCGAGACUCUCUGCCUCUGGCGCAGGGUGACUCCAGAGUGUCCUGCCAGGGGACGGCAGUGCCUCCUCUUGGACAGCCUAGGGGGGAGGUGCCUGAAAGCACCGCUCUGCGGGUCCGCUCCGACCGGGGCGGUUAGACGCGGCUUCCGGGUGACACCCCGCUCUUCCGCUCCGUGCCCUCCGCUGCCUGAAGCUGGGGGCUCCGAUGGUGACACCUGCUGCCAGACACAGCUACUCCCCCUUCUCAGCACACAGGUUACUGAGCACCUGCUGUGUGCAGGCCGUCUGAGCCCUGAGAUGUCUCCUGGACCCCGCGAGCCCAUCGACAGCCUUCUGGUCAAGGCCCAGCUCACGUCGCUUCCCGGCUGGGAAAGAGCCCGGCCCCUCCAAACCCCGAGGUGCCUGUCCACGCUGCUCGCGGAUGUGCCCAAGAGCCCACAUGCCGGACCCGGCGGGCGGCCUCUGGUGGCUCUGACGGGGCACACGACGGAGUACACGGCCCCAGACCUCUGGUGGCUCUGACGGAGCCCACGACGGAGCACACGGCCCCAGACCUCUGGUGGCUCUGACGGAGCACACGACGGAGCACAUGGCCCCAGAGUGCGUCUGUUUGCCUGGGCUUCCCUUGCCCUUUUUAGAGGAAGAAACAGAAAUGUUAUGGUGAACAGGCUUCCUGAGCCCGGGGCGGUGUGGGGGCGGGUGCCCAGGAAGGGGGAAAGUCCUGGGGGCUGGGCCGCUGUUCCCGCGGAGCCUGAGGCCUGGUGCCCAUCAGGCGGACCAGGCGGCAGCUGCGUUCCAGCUCCGGGUCUGGCUCUUGCCCCUAAUCCUGGUGCUCUCUGGAGUCCGGCUGCUGCCCACUGCCCCUGGACUGUCUGGGGGGCUUGAUUUCUUGGGGUGUCACCAGCUGCACAAGGAGGCAGCUUUGGGGCCAGGGGUGCCGGGGUGUGGACUCCCAGUGCAAAGAUGGCACAGUCCUGGGGGGCCAUCCUGAGCACACUGCACGGCUGCCAGCAUCUGAAGGAUAAGCCCAGAGCGAGGGCGGGGGCCUGGGGACCAGUUUCAUCGGGCUGUGUGGGCCCCGGGAGGUGAGGCGGGAACCCCAGAAAGGAGAGCCUGCAGGCGGGAGGCCUGGCCUCGACGCGCCCUUUGGACGGCAGAGCAGACGCUCCGGGACCCUGCAGACCAUGCCCCACCCUGGCUCCCAAACUUCUGAGCGGGUCCCUGGGAGGCCCAGCUGUGAGGGGGGUGUCCCGGGGCUGAGGUGCCCGUCCCUGUCACUGUCCACACUGGCUCCUCCAUGUGACAGGUGACAGAGGGGCUUGAGCCAACAGAUCCGAGCGAUUUAUCUUUUGAAAAAUGGAAAAGAGGGAAAACGCAAGUCACCGCCACUGGGCACAGGGACACUGGCGCUCGUUACGUUUGUCUCUGGUUUAUCAUCACAGGCCGGGCCGCCGAGGAUCCACCAGGUCAGCGUCCAGGUCCUGCGUGACUGGGGAGAGUCCUGCUCUCACCUUUCCGGGACAGGACGUUUUCCUUCUGCUCGUCCAGCUUCACCAGCUACUGACCCUGACGGACAGAGGAUAGAGGGAGAGUCAGCCACACACGCACACACACACACCCCAAAACUGGAUGCACACGCAGUGGGUAGUGAGGGAUUCUCCCCAAAGUUGCUGCAUCUUCCACAGCCCCACGCUUGUCUGUCCUUCCAGCUGUAGAUGACACGUCUGUCUCCUCUGCCCUCCAGCCGGACGAGCAGGGGCUUUAGGCCAACGUUGCUCUGGACCAGCCUUGAACCUCCUGCUAGAGGAGGCCAGCCUGCCCGCCCUCUGUGGCCGAGUGAGUGUCUCCUACGUGGAUGGGACCCUGGAAUCGGACUCCUGGCCCAGCAUCUUACAGCCUGCCGCUAAGCGAUGGGGAAAUCAUUUAUUUAAGCUACGAAGUGAGGUGCCAGUGUGAGGGUCCAGCUGCUGUCUGUGUAGCGUCUUUACUUCCCUGGCACUUGGGAACCUCGCAGGGCUCUCACGCUCUGCCUGAGCCACAGGGCUCCUGCCCUGUCCCCGCAGUACAGCACUGCGCACAUCACCGUCCUGACCGAAUCCACCUCCGGGAACAGUGGCCGGGAGGUGCCCUGCUGUGUCCAUGUCCGUGACCGGCGCUUGGCCUUGGCCAGGACCAGACUCAGGACUCAGGGCGGGCUCUCCCUGGUCACCUGGGAGGAACUUACCCUGUUAGCUUAUGGCUUUAAGGGCUUUCGUUGUGCUUUUUACCGCUGAAUGCAUUUUUAAGAUAACAGGCUAGCCUGCAUUUAGAGAGCUUUCUGAGGGUGGCUGUGUAAAUUAAGAGGGAUAAAUCAUUGCAAGUUAUCAUUUAACGGCUCUGGAAGGAGCCUGGCCUCUGCUGGGAUGGCAGGCCCAGGCCUGUCCCCUUGGAACUAACUGCCUGCCUGGGAAGCAUCAGAUCAGGAGGCGUGAAGAGGUGCUUUGGAACAUGUAUUCUCUUCAGACUCCCCUUUGCCCUGUAGUUUGUUCCACUCCACGUGAAACGCUGGGGGACGCCCAGGGCCGGGAAGCAGAGGCCACGUCUGCAGGCUGAGAAUAUGCUGCCGUCCCCUGGCUCCCUGUCCAUCCAGGUGAUGGUGGCGGCGAGAGCAGCUCCUCUGAACCUGGAAUUUGCUAUUUCCUUGAGAAAGUUGAUGGGGUAGCUCCCUGCACCCUCGCUGUGUGAAUGGGGCUGGUGGCCCCCUGGCCACCACGUCGGGUGGUCCUGACCCGGUGGUGUCAUUGUUUGCUCCUGUCUCUUUGGUGUCAAUCUUAUCUCCCCAGUUUCCUUGAGGAUAAGAGUCAUGAGGAACUCUUGUGGAUUAUUUAGCAAGUCCUCUGAAGGUGAUCCGUGGUGAAUCCAUGGGUGACCAGACAUCGAUAAAACCCGUAUCUUUGUGUUUCUGGUCAAGAUUUUGUCCACUCAGUGCAGAUGUGGAAUCACCCCUGGACGGGAAGCCACCAGGGGGCUGGAAUUCCUGCACGCUCUGGUCACUCCUCAAUUAAGGACGGACUCAGAGUCAGACUCUAGGGGGUGCCCGACCUCGUGGGGCCCUCGGGCGAGCAUGUCACCAACUGGUGACCCUGCUCCCAUCCUAACUAGGGCGUAACCAUGGGAAGUGCCUCCCCAGGGCCCGGCCCAAAGUGGGUGCACUGCAUGCUGGGAGCUGGAGCACUGCAUGCUGGGAGUUGUAGGGCUGUCAUCCUGCCACCCCAUCUUCUCCUUCUUUUUCAUUCUGAAGCCUGCUUACACAACCCCACCCAGCAAUUUCCUCUCCGUUUACCUGCCUUUAUCUCUAGCAACUUGUUCCCAUCCGUCGAGCCAAGGAGCAGCCUCCUCUCACAGGGCUCUGCCCGCAGCCUCCCUGGUCCCUCUUCUGCAGGGACACCACAAAUGGGCGUGGCUCCCCUUUGAUCCUCUCCUUGGUUUGAACCUGUUUUCAGAUUGAGUCUCCCAGCAGACGUGUGUGCUUCAUCACUUCCUUUGCCCCCCCUGUGGCCUCCCACCCAUCCUCCGUCUGACUCUCUGCCCAGGGACACUCCAGGGCAGCGGCUGCCACCUGUAAGCCAACAUCAGCUCACAGUGUGCGGCUGAAAAGACAAGUCAGAUGAGGCCAGAGAACGUCCGGGACUCGGGCAGCUGGCUCUCCCGGAAGCCAGAGGCCAGGCCGCUCGGGGUCUGUACUGAGGGCGGGACGGAGGGAGGUAGUGGAGGUGGCACUGGCAGGUGUGACCGGCUCUCCAGUCGCCACCACCCCGCAUGGGCCUCCCUGCCCAGGACCUGGAAGCAUCAGCUCUGUGACAGAGCGAGGAGAGCUGAGCAUGAAGGUGGAGAAGCUCAGGCUGGGUUCGGAGCGCGAGCGCUGCCCGGCUGUGCACUGGCCCCCAGCCUGGACCCUCUUCCUUUACAGGGUGACUGAGAGCAAGUGACCGAGCGCGGACAAAAGUGCCUGGUGAUGUGGGCCGCCCUCAUGGGUCCCCGCGUGGUCGCACCAGCGUCUGUCCUUACGCCCCCUUCUCUGACCCCUGCGUGUCACAACUCUGAUCACGGGUCUUGGAGGCCGAGCGCUCUUGCUGUGCGGGUGGCCCGCUGGGAGGAGAGUGAGGCCCGCGAGGGACCGGCUCUCCUGCCGCAGGGCUCGCGGGUGGCUCCUGCACGUCGGCCCUUGCCGCCAGCUCCCACUGCAAAGGGGCUCCCACACCCACAUGCCGCCGCAGCUGGCACGGCCCCAGCAUCAACAGAGGGUGCGUUUGCCUUGUUAAUCACCGAUACGAAAACACACGGCCUCUGUCUCUGUUGUUCUGUGCCUCGUUCACACCCUGUAUAAUUUUAUACUGUUCCUACAGCCCUGACAUGCCCUAAGCUACAACUGACAUUGAUUCGCUGACUUGUAAAGUGUGUUAUCUGCUCUCCAUGUCUGCACGGAGUUCCCGGAGAGCUGCCCGGGCGGUGACUCAGGAUGGGAGAGCGGUGCAGGGGAAGGUCAGACGCGGGUGAGGGCCAGUGACUUAGGGGCUCCUGCCGGACCACGUGUGGGUCCAGCCCUCUUGUGGAUUUCUGUGGGAGCCACUCAUGGCAAUUUCUAGCUAAAUCCCUGCCUUUGUUUCCUACGUCAGAUAAAUUCCAUUAGAAUUAGGUGAUUCUAUGUCUCCUUUAUAAGACAAGCCCUUCACACGGGAGUCAUGACAGCACGCUUGACAAAAACACACGUGGUCUGGAGACAGUCCCUGCAGAGCUGGAACUCCUGCAAACGGGAACAUUUGUUGGUGAAAAGGCAGCUACGUCACCACGAGCACACAAGGUCCUUGAGAAAAGGUCCAGCGUGAAGGGUCUCUGAGCCUGCGUGUAUCAGUGUAGGAGUCAAAUGUCGGCUGAAGAAAAUAAAACCAUGUGACGUAUGUGCAAAAAAGUUUUUAAAGUUCCUAAGUUUAAAAAUGCAGCACAAUUUGCUAAAUUUCUAAUUGAAACUAAUGUUUGUAACUUCUCUUUGAGUUAAGGUUUUGGUGAUAACUCACUUCCUCAAUUGCAAGUCGUGUUUCACCCGCCCAGUUAACACGUCUGAGAGGUGGCAUUUCCCAGCCACCGUGCAGGUGUCCUGGGCCCGGAAAAUGGGAGCAAAUGUGCCCUGGGUCCUUUCCAGGCUGAGGCAGCUCAGGCUCGUGGGCCAGCCCUUCAUGUCCUCUCCCGUGACCUCGGGGGUCGUGCCCUCCAGGUAGCAUCACCGUCAGAGGAAGGAACUGUGAUGUGGAAAAGGAAUAAACUGCUAUCAUGUUGGUAAGACUUGGGGGCUUAUUUGCUACUGCAGCAUAGCUGAGUCAGUCCUAUCUAAUACACACAUUUAAGGUAAAGAGAAUUUUUCUACAUGCUUUUGAGGACCACAGAUUGGAGAGGAAAGUAUUCUGUUAACAUCAGAAUAGUGUUCAAAUUAAAACUUCUGCCCUUCCUUUUGCUUCCAUUUUCUAUUUUAUGUGAAAAUAUGCACUGGAGGGGACCGAGGAGGCAGCCAGUGUGGUGGGGUCAGGACACUUGUUCCUCAGCCCACGGGGUCAUUGGUUUUACAUCCAGAUCUGGAGGGUGAGAGGGGUAGGGUGGGGAUCUGGGUGGGGCGUUUGUCUGUAAGCCAUCCCCACCCCCUACUGACAACUCUUCUCUAGAACAAUCACUGCUUUCAAGAGUUUCCCAUCUACCACUGAAACUAAAAUAAACAGAAUUUAUAUCUCAGGAAUUCUAUGACAAUGAUUAUAAAAUGUUUCAUAUUAUAAUAUUAGCUUUUAUAAUGAUUAUAAAGUGUUUCAGAUUUAAUAUUAGCUUUCUCAGUGGAAAAAUAUGUAUUUUAAAGGUAAAAGCAUCUAAUUACAGAUAAAGAUAUAGGUAUAGAAAUAUAAAAGAACUGAUAAAAGAACUGAUGAAGUGGGGCUGGUGGAGUCACAGGGGAAGAGUUAGCAGGGGUCCUUCUCAGCCACCCCCAGACCCACCGCCUUCCUGGGGCCGACAUGGAACCUCUUUCUCUUUAGCCCUUUCUGAGUCUGGGUCUCUGGAGAAAAAGAAAAGAAAAAAGCGUGUCUCCACUGAGUAGUGAAAUGGGAAAACUGAACAGGAGACGAAGAGAGAGAAACCAGUGUCAACUCCUCCCACCAAAGCAUCGGGAGGAAAACACCUUUCCUUCUAUUACGAUGGGUCGGGCCUGGCCUGGCCUUUCCUUCUUUGAACACGUAUAGCAACAAAGGCAGUUCUCUGCUGCAUCGGGGAGAUUUUGUUUUGCUUUCUGUGUAUGGUUCUCAAAAGCAAGGUUUUGGUUUUUUUUUUAAAUUAUGGUCAGAUACACAUUUUAACCAUUUUUAAGUGACAGUUCAGUGGUGUUAAGUGCAUUCGUAACGUGGUGCAGCCACCCCACCAUCCGUCUCCAAAGCGUUUUCAUCUUGCAAAGCUGAAACUCUAACCCCAUUAAACACAAAGUCCCCACCCUCACCAGCCCCUGGAAACCACAGUCCUACUUUCUGCCUCUGUGACUCUGACUCCUUCAUGGACCUCAUAUUAGUGGAGUCCUGCUUUUCUGGACGAUUUGUCCUCUCUGACUGGAUUCGUUCAUGAGCAUCAUGUCCUCAGGGUUCACCCUUGUUGCAGCCUCUGCCAGGAUUUCCUUCCUUUUUCAGGCUGAGUGAUAUUCUAUUGUGUGGGUGGACCACCUUUUGUUCAUCCGUCAUCUGUUGUUGGACACUGGGGUAGUCUCCACUUUUAGCUGCUGUGAACCCACGUCCACAAAUAUCUCCUCAAGACCCUGCUUUCAGUUCUUCGGGGUCUUUGCCCAGGAGUGGGGUCACCGUAUCAUGCAGUGUGUCUACGUUUUUGAGAAACCGCCAGACAGUUUCCACAGCAGCUGCACCGUCUCACUUCCCACCGUCCGUGCACCAGGUUCCAAAGGGUUUUAGCUUUAUCUGCUUCUUGUCCCCUGGGUCAGCAGCUCAGGGGGGCAAACACUCUGCCCUCACGUUAUUCAAACCAAGAGGCUGUGUGUACUGCCGUCAGGCUGCGCUCUGUCCGCGCCCAGCACCCUCGGCGGCCCCACGGUUAGGCAUCCUGCUCGGACGUGCUCACCACACAGCAUCUUCCUCUGCAGACAGGAGCCUCAGAGUGUGAGCUGGACGGAGACCAUGAGGAAGGAGGACAGUACAGAGGCCCCGGCCUCAGACCUCGGCGCUGCCUGUGAGGGACCUGCAGGCGAGGGGAGCUCACGGUGACUCACAAGCUGCUGGGGCACCAACGACUGUGGGCCCCUUCGGGACCGCACGUGCCUCAGACAAGCAGGAAAGGAAAGAAAGCACACCCAGAAAAUCUCCAUCUUGUUUAUUAAAAAACAAAAGCACAACCUUCCAGGAGACUUAAUACUCUAGCAAUGGGAAUUAGCGUUUUCUGAUGGCAAAUGAGAGUCCCACCCUGAACCCAGCACUUGGGGACGUCCGAGGCGCACCGGACACCCCCUCGUGGCACCUCGGGAGGAGUGGGCAGCCGCGUACCCUGCAGGCUCGAGCCCACGGCCUCAGGCACAGAGCCCCCUCCCGCUCUGCCUUCCCACCUGCUGGCCUGUCCCUGAAGCCCACCUCCUCCCGGGGGAUGUGGGGAUGGAGGCUGGGCCGGGAUGGGCACAGCCUAUGUUUUAAUUCUUCAAAUCGCUGCUCCACUUGUGGGCUUACGUGCCAACGUUGCCCAAAGCAGUCGAGUCCCUGCUGGCCGGAUAUUUUGAGUAUCUCCUCACAUGGCAGGAGUGUCGGUGGCCGUCAGGUCCAACAAGGCCAGUGCCGGCCUGCGAAAGCGGCCGUUAGCCGGAAGGCCCAGGAGCAGGCUUUCAGCAGAGGUUGGUCACACAGUGUGAUUGUCUGGGGCUUUCAAGUAUUCAGAUUUCCAGGCCACACUCAAGACCAAUUUAAAAAAAAAAACAAAGAUCUCUGAGCUCAGAACCCAGGCAUCCAUAUUUUUGAAAACUCCCGGGUGAGUGAAUGCACGUGGCAGUCCAAGGGUCGUCGCUCUGAGACUGCAAUCACGUACCACCUGGUGAUGCCUUCCAAGGUGUGCUGUGAUUUUCACUUAAGGAGAAGUAGUAAAUGACUUUUCCUUAAAAAAUGUACAUCUUUGCAAUGACAGAACUGGAUGAAUACAGACAAGAUGUUAGCAAGAGUGAUCUUUACAUAGCAGUGUGGGCUGGUGGUUGAUUUUCUUCUGUUUUGGU